AGUAACAUUUACUGCAUCAAAGUUUCUAUUGAAAUGGUUGUUUCAGUAUGAACAUGAGCACAGACAAUGGUUGGCCGCUAUCUCUUUGGGACUGAUAUCAAGUUGUUUACAUGCAACGAAUUCAAGACAAAUUCCAAAUCAUCAUCGGACUUCUUGAGAAUCCUAUUGAAGAAGUUAUAUCAGCUAACUUUUCACAUUCAUUCCUUAGGAACCUUCGGCUAUCAAAUGUUGAGAUUAUAUUACCAGAUGUAAAUGAUCUUCUCUCAUCUUAAAAUCAAAGCUUAUUGUUUGAAUCAUGGGGAUUGAACCAGGAAUACUUAAACCUUAUUUGUUUUCACAGCAUAUGAAGAACUAUGAGUUAUUUCUAAAGAAGGUAUCCAAGUGGAUGAACCAUGACAACCUUCUUUUUGUGGAACAUAUAUGCCAUAAAACCAUGGCUUAUGAGUACGAGGUAUACUCCCAAGUCAUCCAUCAAGCUCUAGGCUUAAACGUCACCAUUGCAUAGUUUUAGUUUUUAUCUUGAAUUUGAUUUUUUUUUUUUCAUCAUUCAUUCCCAUUUUCUGUUAGCAAAUUACUAUGCUUCGUGUUUGUGCCCCCAAUUUGAACUUACUGUGAUAAGAUAUAUCACAUGUUAAAUCUUGUUGACCUCCUUUGCAUGCAUCUUUUACAGCCUAUAGAUGACAAUGAUUGGUAUACAGAUUCCAUGUUCCUUCUGGGACAUUCAUCAUGACAUCGGCCUCACUUCUAUAUUUCCGGAUUGUAAUGGAAGAUGCUUCCAUAAUGUAAGAUGCUUGAUGUAAGGCAUUGUUUCCCAAUCAAGCUCAGCAGGGGUGUAGGGCCACCAUGGUGUUUGAUGUUUGCAUGACCUCACCCGUCCAACAAGGUUCUCAAUUUCAUGGUGGGACAAUCUUGUUGGAUGGGCAAAUGAAUCCGAUUAGAACCUCUUACAGUUGACCACAUUCCACCCGAUCCAUAACCAUUUUUUUUUUUAAUGAGGCUAGUCCAUAACCAAAUUUUUAAUAGGUACAACUAAAAAAAGUCCUAUAAUCCAAUCC